rnacentral:rRNA from 1 species
ACACAUGCAAGUCGAACGAGCGAGAGAGAGCUUGCUUUCUCGAGCGAGUGGCGAACGGGUGAGUAACGCGUGAGGAACCUGCCUCAAAGAGGGGGACAACAGUUGGAAACGACUGCUAAUACCGCAUAAGCCCACGGUGCCGCAUGGUACAGAGGGAAAAGGAGCAAUCCGCUUUGAGAUGGCCUCGCGUCCGAUUAGCUAGUUGGUGAGGUAACGGCCCACCAAGGCGACGAUCGGUAGCCGGACUGAGAGGUUGAACGGCCACAUUGGGACUGAGACACGGCCCAGACUCCUACGGGAGGCAGCAGUGGGGAAUAUUGCACAAUGGGGGAAACCCUGAUGCAGCGACGCCGCGUGGAGGAAGAAGGUCUUCGGAUUGUAAACUCCUGUUGUUGGGGAAGAUAAUGACGGUACCCAACAAGGAAGUGACGGCUAACUACGUGCCAGCAGCCGCGGUAAAACGUAGGUCACAAGCGUUGUCCGGAAUUACUGGGUGUAAAGGGAGCGCAGGCGGGAAGACAAGUUGGAAGUGAAAUCUAUGGGCUCAACCCAUAAACUGCUUUCAAAACUGUUUUUCUUGAGUAGUGCAGAGGUAGGCGGAAUUCCCGGUGUAGCGGUGGAAUGCGUAGAUAUCGGGAGGAACACCAGUGGCGAAGGCGGCCUACUGGGCACCAACUGACGCUGAGGCUCGAAAGUGUGGGUAGCAAACAGGAUUAGAUACCCUGGUAGUCCACACCGUAAACGAUGAUUACUAGGUGUUGGAGGAUUGACCCCUUCAGUGCCGCAGUUAACACAAUAAGUAAUCCACCUGGGGAGUACGACCGCAAGGUUGAAACUCAAAGGAAUUGACGGGGG